AACCUAGCACACCUGCGGUGUGUACCUGCGGAAGGAUCAUUAAAAAACUUUGCCCGCGGACCUUGGGUCCAAGGCGCAAAACCCACACUAUGUGCACUGUUAUCGUUCUUUUGGCAGGGGCUUGGGGUGUCUUCCAACUUGGGGAACCUCAACUUCUCGUCUAGCUCUAUCCACCUCGGACAGCUGGACAUGAGAAGCAGUUACUCUGCCAAGUGACCCUUAAAAACACGCUUUUUGUCU
rnacentral:misc_RNA from 1 species